rnacentral:lncRNA from 1 species
AAACAAAUAUAUACAUUUCCUAAAGUACUAAAUACAAAUAUACACUUAUUAAAUAACAAUAUACACUUCCUAAAUAUACACUUCAUAAAUAAAAAUAUACACUUCCUAAAUAUACACUUCAUAAAUAAAAAUAUACACUUCAAAAUACAAAACAAAUAUAUACAUUUCCUAAAUACUAAAUACAAAUAUACACUUAUUAAAUAACAAUAUACACUUCCUAAAUACAAAUAUACACUUCCUAACAACACCACAACAUUGCAAUUAACCGGAAAAUAAAAGCAAACACAAAAUAAAACUAAAGCUCAAAAACGUACUCGAGGAGGAGGAGGGAGGACCGGAGCAGCAGCAGGAGGAGGAGGCCGGGCGGAGAGGGAGCGGAGGCCGGGCGGAGAGGGAGAGGGAGAGGGAGAGGGAGAGGAGGCGGAGGCCGGGCGGAGAGGGAGAGGGAGAGGGAGCGGAGGCGGAGAGGGAGAGGGAGCGGAGGCGGAGGGGAAAUUCGGAGAGGGAGAUAGAGGAAAAGGAAGCUAGGGUUUAGUCGAGCGGGGUUAUACCCGAAGACUUUAGCCGACGAAAUAACUAUUUCGUCGGCUAAAGUUAAUAAUUUCGUCGGCUAACAUAACACUUUAGCCGACGAACUCAGUAAUUUCGUCGGCUAACACUUUAGCCGACGAAUGUAGUAAUUUCGUCGGUUUUAUAACUUUUUAUACAUUCGUCUACCGUGAUUUUUCAACCGUAGAGGUAUUUCACCAUUCUGGUCAUGUCUUAUUUCACGACUUUUUUACGUUUGAAGGUUCUACGUAUAGUUUGUUUUUGAAACGGAACAUUUACUUAACACUUGGUAAACAAGUUGUACAACAUUAGUAAGCAUGUUGUGAUUGUGAUGAUCAAACUUGAGAAAAGGAAAUCCGACGGUCAGAUCUGACCAUCAUGAUAAAAUACAUGUAUGGGAAAAAAUUCAACUUGAUCUGACAAGGUUAAGUGCUCGAUCCGGACGGUCAAUCCCGUAAGUCAAACCCCUAAAUGCACGGAAAAGGUCGUUGGACCGUCAAAAUUUCGUAUUUUGGCCGGACCUUCAACUGAAAAUAUUUUCAAAUCGAUGAGACACAAUAAAUCGUAUAAAAAUUUUACGCAAAAUAACCACCGAAGAUAGGGCUAUAGUAUGUAACAGAAAAAGUUUAGGUUUUAGCCGACGAAAUAUUAGAGUAUUUCGUCGGCUAUAAGUUAUUUUAGCCGACGAUGUCUAGUAUUUUUCGUCGGCUAUAGUAUGUAAUAAAAAAAAGUUUAGGGUUUAGCCGACGAAAUAUUAGGGUAUUUCGUUGGCUAUAAGUUAUUUUAGCCGACGACUUCAAGUAUUUUUCGUCGGCUAUAGUAUGUAAUAAUAAAAAAAAAUUAAUAAAGCCGACGAAAUAUUAGUGUAUUUAGUCGGCUAUAAGUUCUUUUAGCCGACGACUUCAAGUAUUUUUCGUCGGCUAAGACUGGUUUAGCCGACGACUUUUAAUAUAAUUCGUCGGCUAAGAUGGUUUAGGCCGACGAAUUAUGUUGUAUUUCGUCGGCUUAAGUAAAAAAAAUUCAAACCCUAAAACAGAAGGUUUAAACCAUACUAAUUUCCUGUUCAUAUAUCACCAAAAUUCAUAUAAAAUAACAGAAAUAUGAAUUCAACAUAUGUAAACUAGAAAUUAAGGUAAUACACAAUCUUUUUUAUUAUAAAUUAAUGUAUUACAUCCGAAGAAAUUAAAACUAAGGCUCGUAAUCGGAAUCAUCCGAUGAGUC